rnacentral:pre_miRNA from 1 species
AAUAGGAGGAUGACAAAUCAGAUUUUUUUUCCUGAUAUUCAACUUUUUCCCCUAGAAAAAUUCAAAUUCGACUAAAAAUGUUGAAUAUCUGAAAAAAAUAUAAUUUGUCAUUCUCCUAUU